rnacentral:rRNA from 1 species
UUGGAUGAUUCGGUGAGGUCUUCGGACCGAUGCUUCGUGUGAUCCGUUGCGGAUUGGCUGUUGCGUUGGAAGUUGGCCGAACCCAACCAUCUAGAGGAAGUAAAAGUCGUAACAAGGUUUCCGUAGGUGAACAUGCGGAAGGAUCAUUACUG